rnacentral:lncRNA from 1 species
CCCAACCUGCCCCAGAUUAUUCGAGUAUGCUAAGACUCACAAAAUGCCAUUAAAAUUCAGGCCGAUUGUAGAGAAACGAACGUUGCCAACUUAUAACCUUGAAAAUAGAGUAGCAAAUUGGAUUAAUCAACGACUGAAAAGAUAUGAAUAUAUAAUAACAUCCCCAGAAGCCUUUGUGAGCAAGAUGAGGACUUUCCCCCUGGAAGGCUCGGAGAUCUUUACGACGUAUGAUUUCAAAGCAUUAUACCUGUCCUCGAACAUUGCACCUGCUUGCCUGAGCCUUUAUAGGUUCUUCUUGGAGAAUAUGCCGAGAGCUUCAUUCCGUCUAGC